GACGUAGGGCGCGAGCGUUGUCCGGAUUUAUUGGGCGUAAAGAGCUCGUAGGCGGCUUGUCGCGUCGACUGUGAAAACCCGCGGCUCAACUGCGGGCCUGCAGUCGAUACGGGCAGGCUAGAGUUCGGUAGGGGAGACUGGAAUUCCCGGUGUAGCGGUGAAAUGCGCAGAUAUCAGGAGGAACACCGGUGGCGAAGGCGGGUCUCUGGGCCGAUACUGACGCUGAGGAGCGAAAGCGUGGGGAGCGAACAGG
rnacentral:rRNA from 1 species